rnacentral:rRNA from 1 species
UACGGGGGGAGCAAGCGUUGUUCGGAUUUACUGGGCGUAAAGGGCGCGUAGGCGGUCGUGACAAGUCACUUGUGAAAUCUCCGGGCUUAACUCGGAACGGUCAAGUGAUACUGUCGGACUAGAGUACAGAAGGGGCAACUGGAAUUCUCGGUGUAGCGGUGAAAUGCGUAGAUAUCGAGAGGAACACCUGCGGCGAAGGCGGGUUGCUGGGCUGAUACUGACGCUGAGGCGCGAAAGCAUGGGGAGCGAAUGGG